GCAUAUCAACAAGCGCAGGAAAAGAAAACCCAACAGGGAUUACCUCAGUAACGGCGAGUGAAGCGGUAAUAGCUCAAAUUUGAAAUCUGGCCUCUCGGGGUCCGAGUUGUAAUUUGUAGAGGAUGUUUUGGGUACCGCCCCGGUCUAAAUUUCUUGGAACAGAAUGUCAAAGAGGGUGAGAAUCCCGUCUUGGACCGGCGGUAGGGCCUGUGUAAAACUCCUUCGACGAGUCGAGUUGUUUGGGAAUGCAGCUCAAAAUGGGUGGUAAAUUUCAUCUAAAGCUAAAUAUUGGCCAGAGACCGAUAGCGCACAAGUAGAGUGAUCGAAAGAUGAAAAGCACUUUGAAAAGAGAGUUAAACAGUAUGUGAAAUUGUUGAAAGGGAAGCGCUUGCAACCAGACUUGAGCGCGGCGGUUCCCCCGGUCUUUUGGCCGGGCUACUCCGUCGUGUCCAGGCCAACAUCGGUUCUGAGGGUCGGUCAAAGGCCUUGGGAAUGUAUCUACCUACGGGUAGACUUAUAGACCAGGGUGUCAUGCGGCCUCUCGGGACCGAGGAACGCGCUUCGGCUCGGAUGUUGGCGUAAUGGUUGUCAGCGACCCGUCUUGAAACACGGACCAAGGAGUCUAACAUCUAUGCGAGUGUUUGGGUGUCAAACCCGGAACGCGAAAUGAAAGUGAACGGAGGUAGGAAGCUUCGGCUGCACUAUCGACCGAUCCUGAAGUUUACGGAUGGAUUUGAGUAAGAGCAUAGCUGUUGGGACCCCGAAAGAUGGUGAACUAUGCCCUGAAUAGGGUGAAGCCAGAGGAAACUCUGGUGGAGGCUCGCAGCGGUUCUGACGUGCAAAUCGAUCGUCAAAUUUGGGUAUAGGGGGCGAAAGACUAAUCGAACCAUCUGGGUAGCUGGGUUCCUGCCGAG
rnacentral:rRNA from 1 species